GUAGACGGCCAUCUUAGUGCUGAAAGCACCAUAUCCCGUCUGCUCUGUGAUCUUCUGCCUCUGUGAGAAGUUGAGCACCCUCAAGCUCGGGUAGUACUCGGGUGGGUGACCACCGGGGAAGUCCGGGUGCUGUCUACU
rfam:Phytophthora infestans T30-4 supercont1.52 genomic scaffold, whole genome shotgun sequence.